UUUUAGUAAUUCUUUCAUUGUUAAGAUUAACUUAACCAUACAAUUCUAACUGCUGUCUUAUUUCCUAGGGAUGAUUUCACCUCACUCUUCCAUUUCUGAAGCCUGUGGGAUUUUCUAAAAUUUAGGACAAACAAUCAGUCAAAGAAAGAGAAAGCAUUCCACCAAAGGAGAAAACACCAAGGAUCCGCUUUCAGGAAGAAAACACAAAUAAAAUCCAUCCAAAUGAGUCUUCACUUGGAGAAGCACUAAUCAAUGACAAAGAAGAACCUUUGUUCCUGUGA
rnacentral:lncRNA from 1 species